rnacentral:rRNA from 1 species
CCCUUAGACGUUCUGAGCCGCACGCGCGCUACACUGACGAAGGCAACGAGCUUUCCUUUACCGAAAGGUACGGGUAAUCUUUUGAAACUUCGUCGUGCUGGGGAUAGAUCCUUGCAAUUAUUGAUCUUAAACGAGGAAUUCCUAGUAAGCGCAAGUCAUCAACUUGCGUUGAUUACGUCCCUGCCCUUUGUACACACCGCCCGUCGCUACUACCGAUUGAAUGGUUUAGUGAGGCCUUCGGAUCCGCGACUCGUUUUGUGGAGAAGUUGGACAAACUCAGUCAUUUAGAGGAAGUAAAAGUCGUAACA